rnacentral:rRNA from 1 species
GACGAACGCUGGCGGUGUGCUUAACACAUGCCAGUCGAACGGUAAGGCCCUUUCGGGGGUACACGAGUGGCGAACGGGUGAGUAACACGUGAGUAACCUGCCCUCAUCUCUGGGAUAACAGUCGGAAACGGUUGCUAAUACUGGAUAUGAGCCUGCAAGGCAUCUUGUGGGUUGGAAAGAUUUUUUGGUUGGGGAUGGACUCGCGGCCUAUCAGCUUGUUGGUGAGGUAGUGGCUCACCAAGGCUUCGACGGGUAGCCGGCCUGAGAGGGCGACCGGCCACAUUGGGACCGAGAUACGGCCCAAACUCCUACGGGAGGCAGCAGUGGGGAAUAUUGCACAAGGGACGGAAGUCUGAUGCAGCAACGCCGCGUGCGGGAUGACGGCCUUCGGGUUGUAAACCGCUUUCAAUUGUGACGAAGCUUUUUGUGACGGUAGCAGUAGAAGAAGCACCGGCUAACUACGUG